AUUGAACGCUGGCGGCAGGCCUAACACAUGCAAGUCGAGCGGAUGAAGGGAGCUUGCUCCUGGAUUCAGCGGCGGACGGGUGAGUAAUGCCUAGGAAUCUGCCUGGUAGUGGGGGAUAACGUCCGGAAACGGGCGCUAAUACCGCAUACGUCCUGAGGGAGAAAGUGGGGGAUCUUCGGACCUCACGCUAUCAGAUGAGCGUAGGUCGGAUUAGCUAGUUGGUGGGGUAAAGGCCUACCAAGGCGACGAUCCGUAACUGGUCUGAGAGGAGGAUCAGUCACACUGGAACUGAGACACGGUCCAGACUCCUACGGGAGGCAGCAGUGGGGAAUAUUGGACAAUGGGCGAAAGCCUGAUCCAGCCAUGCCGCGUGUGUGAAGAAGGUCUUCGGAUUGUAAAGCACUUUAAGUUGGGAGGAAGGGCAGUAAGUUAAUACCUUGCUGUUUUGACGUUACCAACAGAAUAAGCACCGGCUAACUUCGUG
rnacentral:rRNA from 1 species